AACUUUUGGAUUGUGUACAGUUGAGGACUUGGGUCAGAUUUGUCAACGUCCAGAAGUUUCGGAUCAGUUAGUAUAGAGGAGGCAGUUAGAGGACUAGCGCAACAUUUUUUUCAUAACAAGUUUCAGAAUGUUGCAAAGAAGUAAACGGAGCAUAACUCGAUUGAACUCCAAAUGACGCAUGGUCAGAAGCUACAAAUUUGUGGAAGCAGGAGGAAUCAUAUCAAGUCAGGAUUAGAGGUUUCAACUCUUCAUUAGAGGUGGGGGCCUAGGAUUAUUUUUGUUUUAACGCAU
rnacentral:lncRNA from 1 species